GAUGAACGCUAGCUACAGGCUUAACACAUGCAAGUCGAGGGGUAACGAGAGGGAAGCUUGCUUUCCUUGUCGACGACCGGCGCACGGGUGAGUAACGCGUAUCCAACCUGCCCCCAACUAGGGAAUAACCUUGCGAAAGUAAGACUAAUACCCUAUAAUUUCCUCAGAUGUCAUCUGACGAGGAAUAAAGAUUUAUCGGUUGUGGAUGGGGAUGCGUCUGAUUAGCUUGUUGGCGGGGUAACGGCCCACCAAGGCAACGAUCAGUAGGGGUUCUUAGACGAAGGUCCCCCACAGUGGAACUGAGACACGGUCUAAACUCCUACGGGAGGCAGCAGUGAGGAAUAUUGGUCAAUGGGCGGAAGCCUGAACCAGCCAAGUAGCGUGCGGGAUGACGGCCCUAUGGGGUGUAAACUGCUUUUAUACAGGAAUAAAGUUAGCCACGUGUGGUUAUUUGUAGGUACUGUAUGAAUAAGGACCGGCUAAUUCCGUGCCAGCCGCCGCGGUAA
rnacentral:rRNA from 1 species